rnacentral:rRNA from 1 species
GACAGAGGUGCCAAGCGUUAGGCGGAAUCACUGGGCUUAAAGCGUGUGUAGGCGGAGUGCUAAGUACCUUGUGAAAUCCCACGGCUCAACCGUGGAACUGCUGGGUAUACUGGUUCUCUUGAGCGACCCAGGGGCGAGCGGGAACAAAAGCGGUGGACGGCGGAUGAAAUGCGUAGUAAUAUUCGGAUUUGGGAACCAGCCCAAAGG